AGGAUUAACGCUGGCGGCGUGCAUGAAACAUGCAAGUCGAGCGCGGUGUGAUGCGGGGUAACCCAAUUCACAUCUAGCGGCGAACGGGUGAGUAACACGUGAGCAACCUACCUUUGAGUUGGGGAUAGCCCUGGGAAACCAGGAUUAAUACCCGAUGUGGUCACAACAGGACAUCCUGAUGUGAGUAAAGGCGUAAGCCGCUCAAUGACGGGCUCGCGGCCUAUUAGCUUGUUGGUGGGGUAACGGCCUACCAAGGCGAUGAUGGGUAGCUGGUCUGAGAGGACGAUCAGCCACACUGGGACUGAGACACGGCCCAGACUCCUACGGGAGGCAGCAGUUAGGAAUUUUCCGCAAUGGGCGAAAGUCUGACGGAGCAACGCCGCGUGAGUGAUGAAGACCUUCGGGUUGUAAAGCUCUGUCGGAGGGAAGAACACAAUGACGGUACCCUACCAACGAACGCCCGGCUAACUACGUGCCAGCACGCCGC
rnacentral:rRNA from 1 species